CACACUCUCUCCAAGAGAGUUCUUUGCUGUUAGUAAAAAUGAGACGUACACUAUCCUAUACUUAAUUCAAAAUUACUUGUUUAUUUGACCAAUUUAUCUUUGAGGUUGAGGGCUAUAUACAUUCAUACAUCUGAAUGUGUCUUGACUGAGUGACAUGCCUUUUAGCAGGAUUUAACCAACAUUCAGUUUGUACACAUGCCUAUUCAUCAAGUUACAUAUUGAGAGAUGGGGACCAUUGAGUGGUGAUUUGCAGCAAGUACAUGUGCAUGGACAAUGUAAAUUGAUAAAGGAAACAAUCGCAACAAUCAUUUCACUUUUCUUGGCCCACAUUCCCCACAAUAGGUAACUUUGGAUGUAAGUUUACAUAUUUGCCCAAACCUUACAUUUAUUUAAUGUGCUCCUGGAGAAUGUGUUAUUUGUUUUUAAAUGUGAGUGUCAAGACGGAGAUUCUCAUUCAAUGUCACUUCGAUUGCAUCAUUCUGUUGGCUGCCUUAUCAUUAUCAGUACUGUUGAUCAGUUUUAUAUCAGUGAAUAUAAAAACAUCUAUCUACUUCUAUCCUCUUAUGUGGGGCUGGUUUUGGUCUGAAUAAAUGACGUGUAUGGAUUGUGACCGCAAGGUCUAAUUUGUAGACCAAAUUAUCAUUAAAACAUUUGUAGGACUAAAAACAAACUUUUUUUUUUCGUUUUCAAGGACCGUUGCAAGUUCUAUUCCAAAUAGUGCAUAAGGUGAAUUGUGGGGUUGUUUGAAAUAAGUUAGUGUGAGACCAUGUUCUUCUAACGGCUUACUGAGGAAGUGCAAUGACCCUGUGUCUUUCUCUCUCGACCAUGUUCUAACAGCUUACUGAGGAAGUGCAAUGACCCUGUGUCUUUCUCUCUCGACCAUGUUCUAACAGCUUACUGAGGAAGUGCAAUGACCCUGUCUUUCUCUCUCGACCAUGUUCUAACAGCUUACUGAGGAAGUGCAAUGACCCUGUGUCUUUCUCUCUCGACCAUGUUCUAACAGCUUACUGAGGAAGUGCAAUGACCCUGUCUUUCUCUCUCGACCAUGUUCUAACAGCUUACUGAGGAAGUGCAAUGACCCUGUCUUUCUCUCUCGACCAUGUUCUAACAGCUUACUGAGGAAGUGCAAUGACCCUGUGUCUUUCUCUCUCGACCAUGUUCUAACAGCUUACUGAGGAAGUGCAAUGACCCUGUGUCUUUCUCUCUCGACCAUGUUCUAACAGCUUACUGAGGAAGUGCAAUGACCCUGUGUCUUUCUCUCUCGACCAUGUUCUAACAGCUUACUGAGGAAGUGCAAUGACCCUGUCUUUCUCUCUCGACCAUGUUCUAACAGCUUACUGAGGAAGUGCAAUGACCCUGUGUCUUUCUCUCUCGACCAUGUUCUAACAGCUUACUGAGGAAGUGCAAUGACCCUGUGUCUUUCUCUCUCGACCAUGUUCUAACAGCUUACUGAGGAAGUGCAAUGACACUGUCUUUCUCCCAACCAUGUUCUAACGGCUUAUGAUGUAAGUUGCACAUUUGGUGAGUAGUUUUUCUCCUUUUGAGUGGGAGUGUUAAAAGCUGACUAUUUGCAGGAGAAAUAUCUUCAUUGUAUUUGUAUUACCUGCUUUAGUUAAGAAAUCUUGUUUUAAUUUUAUUUGGUGUGUAAAGGGACCCUACUACUAUAGUGACCAAUGUAAAUGUAUCAAAUGGACAGUGUGUUUAAAUCAUUUGUACACACAACUGCCUAAUAAACAGCUAAAUUGCACACAUUUUCAUGUCUUCCCUUGUUUCUGUUGGCAUUGGAAAAUGUGUAAAAUAAAAAGUUAACAAUACUACAAUGCAUAGCUGCAGAUAUAAAACUGUCCCAGAUUUAAAGAGUAGCAAAAGACCUGGAA
rnacentral:lncRNA from 1 species